rnacentral:rRNA from 1 species
AGUAGUAAGGGUUACGUCCCGGUUACGUAGUCGGUGGACAGGUGGUGCAUGGUUGUCGUCAGCUCGUGUCGUGAGAUGUUGGGUUAAGUCCCGCAACGAGCGCAACCCUCGUCCUAUGUUGCCAGCGGGUCAUGCCGGGACUCAUGGGAGACUGCCGGGGUCAACUCGGAGGAAGGUGGGAUGACGUCAAAUCAUCAUGCCCCUUAUGUCUUGGGCUUCACGCAUGCUACAAUGGCCGGUACAAAGGGCUGCGAUACCGCGAGGUGGAGCGAAUCCCAGAAAGCCGGUCUCAGUUCGGAUUGGGGUCUGCAACUCGACCCCAUGAAGUCGGAGUCGCUAGUAAUCGCAGAUCAGCAACGCUGCGGUGAAUACGUUCCCGGGGCUU